ACGGCUCAGUAACACGUGGAGAACGUGCCCUUAAGUGGGGGAUAAUCUCGGGAAAUUGAGGAUAAUACCCCAUAGGUCAUGGGAUCUGGAAUGACCCAUGGCUGAAAGUUCCGGCGCUUAAGGAUCGCUCUGCGGCCUAUCAGGUAGUAGUGGGUGUAACGUACCCCCUAGCCUACGACGGGUAUGGGCCUUGAGAGAGGGAGCCCAGAGUUGGAUUCUGAGACACGAAUCCAGGCCCUACGGGGCGCAGCAGUCGCGAAAACUUCACACUGGGGGGAACCCCGAUGAGGGAAUUCCUAGUGCUUGGGCAUUUGUCCAAGCUUUUCCCGAGCGUAGAUAACUCGGGGAAUAAGGGCUGGGUAAGACGGGUGCCAGCCGCCGCGGUAAUACCUGCAGCCCGAGUGGUGGUCGAUUUUAUUGAGUCUAAAGCGUUCGUAGCCGGUCCGUUAAAUCCUUGGGUAAAUCGGGAAGCUCAACUUUCCGACUUCCGAGGAGACUGGCGGACUUGGGACCGGGAGAGGCCAGAGGUACUUCUGGGGUAGGGGUAAAAUCCUGUAAUCCUAGAAGGACCACCGGUGGCGAAGGCGUCUGGCUAGAACGGAUCCGACGGUGAGGGACGAAGCCCUGGGUCGCAAACGGGAUUAGAUACCCCGGUAGUCCAGGGUGUAAACGCUGCCGACUUGGUGUUGGGGGCCCUUCGGGGGAACUCAGUGCCGGAGAGAAGUUGUUAAGUCGGCCACUUGGGGAGUACGUCCGCAAGGAUGAAACUUAAAGGAAUUGGCGGGGGAGCACAAUCGUAAUCCAUGUCCCUAGGUCC
rnacentral:rRNA from 1 species